UCGCCCAGCCUAAAACGUUUAACCCAGUCUUCCAAGUUCUCUGCUCAGGAGACACCUCCUCCUCUAGGAAACCGAUCUCGAUUGCCCUGGCUGAAUUUCUCUGCUUCUUCCCGCGCAAAUCUGGUAGCACUUUUCCCACAACAGCAUCGUGAUGUCAGGGGCUCAUCGUGUUCACUGAGGCAUCAGGAGCAAAAUUCCCAACAAUUUCUGGGUUCCGCUGUGCAGAAGGAAAGCUGUGUGUGUGGCCGACUGUCCAGCCCAUGGCUAGCACCCGCACCUGAGCUCAGGUGUUUGUUUGGAAGCUUUCACAGCCCUCCGGACCUUUUUACCCAGCUGUGCACCUGG